GAAGAAGAAAUAACAUCUAUCAAAUCAGCCCUGCCUCAAAGUUCAGCUCACCCACCAGGAAUAAAACAUUUUCUACUGAAAAUGAAGAUAGUUUCUGAGUGUCCAGAUCAAAGACAGAAACAUAAUCUGUUGCAAAAUUUCUGCUCUUCUUGAGUUGCUGAAAGUAGUUGUUCCUGGUGCUAAAAGACUGCAGCUCCUUGAGAGAAGAGAAUAUGUCAGUUUUGUUCUCUGCUGUAACUUCAAUGCUGAGAGCAAGAUUCAGCUUCCACAUUUUUAUAACAAGGCUAUAAUACCUGUCUGAUGCAGCUAUUAUAAAAUCUGAAGGAUACAGCAACAAGGUACCAUCUUAGAAGCAGAUGCCAGACACAGCCCUCAGCAGACACCAGAUCUACUGGCACCUUGAUUUUGAACUUCCCAGCCUCCAGAACUGAGCAAAUAAAUUUCUAUUAUUUGUAAAUCA